GCACGCGUAGCUCAGUUGGCAGAGCAGCUGACUCUUAAUCAGCGGGUCGGGGGUUCGAGUCCCCCCGCGUGUACCA
rnacentral:tRNA from 1 species